GUACUUGCUCUGGCAGUACGCAUACUAAAAUUGUAAAGAUACAGAGAUUAUCAUUGCCCUUGAGCAAGGAGGACAGGCAAAUUCCUGAAGCAUCCCAUAUUUCU